AUUGAACGCUGGCGGCAGGCCUAAUACAUGCAAGUGGAACGAGGGGCGGACGGGUGAGUAAUGUCUGGGAAACUGUCUGCAGGAGGGGGACAACUACCGGCAAGGGUAGCUCAUAACGCAUACCACCGGUAGAGCCCAGAGUGGAUUAGCUAGUAGGUGGGGUAAAGGCUCACCUAGGCGACGAUCCCUAGCUGGUCGGAGAGGACGACCGGCCUCACUGGAACUGAGACACGGUCCAGACUCCUACGGGAGGCAGCAGGGGGGAAUAUUGCACAAUGGGCGCGAGCCUGAUGCAGCCAUGCCGCGUGUAUGAAGAAGGCCUUCGGGUUGUGAAGUACUUUCAGCGGGGCGGCGUUACCCGCAGAAGAAGCACCGGCUGACUCCGUGCCAGCAGCCGCGGUAAUAC
rnacentral:rRNA from 1 species